CGGGAUAUCCAAACACGAGAAAACAAUGUAUGAAACAUAUGAAACAUAUAUUUCAUACAUUGUUUUCGAGUGUUUGGAUAUCCCG